UUGCUCUCCUAGGUGUAUUGCCUAUGACGGCUCACGAGCCCAACCUGCCCGGGUUUAUUGUUCGGAGUUUGCUCUCCUAGGUGUAUUACCUAUGACGGCUCACGAGCCCAACCUGCCCGGGUUUAUUGUUCGGAGUUUGCUCUCCUAGGUGAAUUGCCUACCACGGCUAACGAACCUCACCUGCCCGGGUUUGUAAUCGGAGUUUGCUCUCCUAGGUGAACUGCUUUCGCUAACGACCUCCACCUGCCCGGGUUUGUAAUCGGAGUUUGCUCUCCUAGGUGAACUGCUUUCGCUAACGACCUCCACCUGCCCGGUUUUGUAAUCGGAGUUUGCUCUCCUAGGUGAACUGCUUUCGCUAACGACCUCCACCUGCCCGGUUUUGUAAUCGGAGUUUGCUCUCCUAGAUGAACUGCUUUCGCUAACGACCUCCACCUGCCCGGGUUUAUUGUUCGGAGUUUGCUCUCCUAGGUGAAUUGCCUACCACGGCUAACGAACCUCACCUGCCCUGGUUUGUUGUUCGGAGUUUGCUCUCCUAGGCAGAUUGCCUACCACGGCUAACGAGCCCCACCUGCCCGGCGUUGUAGCCGAAAGAUCUCCGGCACCUCCGUCGGGGUCCCGAUGGACGCCGAGGCGCCCUGCCGGGAGCCCUCCAGUCCUGCCAUGCUCGCCUGGGAGACCUUGGGCUCGCUGGCGCUCCACCACCCCGCCGAUUCGAAUAGGGCGGAUGCAAGAACUCGCUUCUUAAAACUACCAGACUGGAUUAUAAAAUUAAUCAUAAAUGCCGUGAAGGCGCCGGUCACCGCGUUUAUCGGUUCUUGGAUGAAGGACCGAUGGGCCUCGGGGACGCGCACAAGCAUCAUAAGGAAUCCUCGCCGCGGCUUCCGGCACAGCAUCCUUUUCCCUUUUCUUUC